rnacentral:lncRNA from 1 species
UUUGUUUUUCAGUUACAUGCAGCCAACCAGACCACCACACAGCCUCUCCACCUAUAAAAUAGAAGGAAGGGUCCAGAAGGUUAGCAUUUCAACACCUUAUCUGGGGUUGGCAGGUCAGGGUCAGGCCCUAAGAGAAUGGAGCAGGCCUCAAAAAAGAAAAGAGGAGGGGAAGGAAGGGCUGAAAACAGGGCCUGGGAGCUCCUUCCUCCUGUGCUCCCUGCUCCUCCCCUAACGCCUUAACCUUCUUCUUUGUAAAAGGAUGCUACAGGUCCUCUUGAACUACACAGCCCAAAUGGCUAGGCAGGGAGAGUGAACCUUUGAAAAGCUCCUUAGCCUCAUUAAAAACCUGGAAAAUGGAAACUAAACAGCAAUAAGAUAUUUUGAAAGGAUUGAUUGAUUGAUUGAUUGAUUGAUUGAUUGAUUGAGACAGGGCCUCACUCUGUCACACAGGCUGGAGUUCAGUGGCAUGAUCAUAGCUCACUACAACCUCAACCUCCCAGGCUCAAGCAACCCUCUUGCCUUAGCCUCUGGAGUAACUGGGACUACAGGCAUGCACCACCGUACUUAGCUAAUUUUUUUGUAAGUUUGUAGAGAUGGGGUCUUGCUACGUUGCCCCAGCUGGUCUUGAACUCCUGGCUCAGAUGAUCCUCUCACCUCAGCCUCCCAAAGCAUUGGGAUUAUGGGCAUGAGCC